ensembl:lncRNA
GUUUCUACACAAAGGUUAGCAGCGUUCAUAAUGUAACUUACAAUCGUUCCUUUCUUUCCCAAACAGAAACGGUUUCUGUUCACUUUCAGUGGAUAAGGAUGGCUACAGCUGCACAUUUACAGCAAAAGUGCUUGCUUAUCACUCCACAUUUACGGAUAACACUGAAUUAGAUAUAAAGCUGUGUGAACUUAACCAGUGUACGCUUUUGAACUCCAAUUACAAGCCAGCACACCACAUCAAACCAAUCACUCCAUAUAAUGUGACAGUGCAGUAUGAAAAUGGGAACUAUACCUUUGCAUGGAGUAGUGGAUAUGAGAAACACAGCUAUGUUUCAGUCUUGCCUUUUCAGUACAUUUUGAGAUACCACCAAGUGGGACAAUCUACAAAGAAGGACCUGCAUAUGACAGAAACCGUGUACAGGAUCUCAGAGACUCUUUUUGAUCCAGGGACUGAAUACAUCGCUAGGGUUUAUAAUAAAAUUAUUCCAAAUGAUAAUUAUCAUGGGACAAUGAGUCACGGGAGCGCUGAGAUCAGAUGGAACACCCCACAAGCAGCAACAACUAUGCAGGGAAUCAUGGUUCUGAUUUGUUCGGCAGUAGGACUAGUGUCUCUCUUGUUAUUCCCUGUUGCAAGGUAACCCCUGUGUUUUCCCUCUUACAGUCUCAGAAACACUUUGCUUGCUCAGUUGAUGACUUUAACUGUGGCAUGGAUGUUGGUGCCAGACAGGUUGGUUUGAGUAUUUCAGAAACUGCUGUGAAUCUCCUGGGAUUUUCACACACAACAGUCUCUAGAGUUUGCACAGAGAAUGGUGCGAAAAUCAAAAAAAAAAAAAAGAACAAAAAUGAAAUAAAUCCAGUAAGUGUCAUUUCUGUGGGCGGAAAUGCCCUGUUGACGUUCAGGCUCACUGAAACCGGACAGCUGAAGAUUGUAAAGACAGGUGAUGUUUUUUCCCGUCUUCAGAGGUGGGUCUGUGCCUACUGUAGUGUCAGAUUCUCGAUGCUGGCUGACAGGAAUGAAACCUUCUGUUGUCGUAGCCCAUCUGUUUUAAAGUUUGGUGUUACCUAUUUAACUUCCAACCAGCAUUGUCUGUAGGACACAUCGAGAAAAUGACGUGCCCAUCAAUAAUCGAUAUAUCGAUGUUUCAUGACAUCCCUAGUCCUAAAACAUCAGAUAAUUUGCAAUAUAUUCCAUUACUCAUAGCGAGAAAGCACUGAAACAGUGGGUAUGCCUGAUUUUGCGUCUAUGUGUGAGCUACCUUUACGAUAAGAGAGAAGUGUUAUCAAUGCCAUUUUGAAUUCCAGAAUGAAGAUUAAAAAGAUCGCGUGGGUAAAACCUCCAGCUCCAUCCAUCUCGCCACUGAACCAAACAGCUCAGGGCAGUUUACAGUUUUCGCUGUCCAAAUCUCAUGUGCAUCAGAUUUACAGUGAGGAAAUUUCAACAAUCGACAUGAUAAUAGAGAUCACAGCCAGACAGCAGCUUCAAGAACAUUCCUCAGUCAUUUAUUCCCAAUGUCACACGCCUUACGUGGGUCCUUUAAUGGAAGUCUGGGCGCCCUGCCUGACGCCCGACUCGCGCAACACUGCUAACAAUCCUUGUAACGAUCCUGAUUUCCUGCCUGACGACGGUGAUGUUGAAGAAACUCUUCUUUGCUUGAGCACGCCCACAGGUGUUGAAGGUGGUUUUGUGUCUUUGGAUGACCUGGAGCCCAGCCUUGAGAUCCGCAAGGACUCGGAAACGUUCACUAAUACACUGAACCCUGCGUGUUUCUCUCAGAAUUAUUGCACUUUAACCAACACAGCUGUUGGACUUAUUCCUACAUUUUGCACAGUGCAGUGUGUUCCUAAUCUCGGUUUAGAGCUAAACGGUCAUACUUCACCUGAUCUGUUCAAUAUGCAGAUAGAGGAGAGUACACCAGAAUUGGACACAGUGACUCUUGACAAUUUGCAGCUGUCUGUGGAUGAAUGACUAUAUACUGUACAUGCAAUAUGACCUGAAUGAAAUGCAACUUUCUGUAAAUACUGCAUUCUCUUAUUCUUCUUCAGUUUAUGGCAUAUUCUUAAGAGUUUCAGCGGAUCACAGCCUUGUGCCAUCUGUUGUGCCAUGGUUCUGUGUUUGUCUUUCAGUACGUUCGACUUUAUACAAGGGAAUGUGCUGCCCUCUGCUGCCUGACCAUAUUUUUGUGGCAGGAUCCCUCAGUUUUCAGCACAGAUUUAAUUCAUGGAUGCCAUCCGACUAAGGUAUUACGCAAACGUGUACUUAUCUAGAACCCUUAGGACUUCUAUGGUUCAUACAGUUGUGCCCAAAAGUUUGCGUACCCCUUGCAGAAUCUGCUCAAUCUUAACACUGCUAACAAAAUAAGAGGAUCAUAAAAAUCCCAUAUUGUUUUUUAUUUAGUUCUGUCCUGAAUAAGCUAUUUCACAUGUUUACAUCUAAUGCACAAGACAAGAUUACAGCUGAAUUUACACAAAUGAACUAGUUGAAAAGUUUACACAACGCUUGAAUCUUAAUACAGUGUG